rnacentral:rRNA from 1 species
UACGUAGGGGGCAAGCGUUGUCCGGAUUUAUUGGGCGUAAAGAGCGUGUAGGCGGCCAAGCAGGUCAGCUGUGAAAACUCGAGGCUCAACCUCGAGACGUCGGUUGAAACCGCUUGGCUAGAGUCCGGGAGAGGAGAGUGGAAUUCCUGGUGUAGCGGUGAAAUGCGCAGAUAUCAGGAAGAACACCCGUGGCGAAAGCGGCUCUCUGGAACGGUACUGACGCUGAGACGCGAAAGCGUGGGGAGCGAACAGG